rnacentral:rRNA from 1 species
GAGUAACACGUAUCCAACCUGCCGUCUACUCUUGACAGCCUUCUGAAAGGAAGAUUAAUACAAGAUGGCAUCAUGAGUCCGCAUGUUCACAUGAUUAAAGGUAUUCCGGUAGACGAUGGGGAUGCGUUCCAUUAGAUAGUAGGCGGGGUAACGGCCCACCUAGUCUUCGAUGGAUAGGGGUUCUGAGAGGAAGGCCCCCACAUUGGAACUGAGACACGGUCCAA